rnacentral:rRNA from 1 species
AUACGUAGGUGACAAGCGUUAUCCGGAUUUACUGGGCGUAAAGGGCGUGUAGGCGGUCUUGCAAGUCAGAAGUGAAAUUCCUGAGCUCAACUCGGGCGCUGCUUCUGAAACUGCAGGACUUGAGUGCUGGAGGGGAUAGCGGAAUUCCUAGUGUAGCGGAGAAAUGCGUAGAGAUUGGGAGGAACACCAGUGGGGAAGGCGACUUACUGGGCCGUAACUGACGCUGAGGCGCGAAAGCGUGGGGAGCGAACAGGAUUAGAUACCCUGGUAGUCCACGCGGUAAACGAUGAAUGCUAGGUGUUGCGGGUAUCGACCCCUGCAGUGCCGGAGUAAACACAAUAAGCAUUCCGCCCGGGGAGUACGGCCGCAAGGUUGAAACUUAAAGGAAUUGACGGGG